UACCUGAAGCUAUGGUUGUGUUGGUUCACUCAGGGCCAAGCCAAAGAGGGCUUCUCAACCUAUAGCUUGUCUGGUGGAGCAAUCACUAGAUUGUAGCAGCGUUGACUAAAGACAAUACCAGAUGGCCAACUUUGAGUGGGAGAGAGCAGCGGGCACAGAGGUAGAGAAAGACAACAAGGAUUGUAUGCUAGAGAUGCCUGGAGAAGAUAAAAGAAUUGUUCAAGGUUGUCACAGUUGACCUUCUGAGCCUUGAUGGAACAGGGAGGCCAGUAUAAAAAGAAAGGAGGGAGAAAAAGAAGAUCCUGAAGAAACUGCUACAAAAUCUUACCUUCUGGCCUUGAUGGAGACCAAACUUCCAUCUCUUAAUUUGAACUGCAGGCUCCACUUAUGGCAAGCCCUCUCAGAGUCCAGGAGCCUCUUUUUAUAGACGACAAACCUGAAACCCAGAGGAGCAAAGUGACUUUUCCAGCUAGUGGGUGGCGGAGCUGGGCCCCGAAUCCAGGUUCCCCAACUCGGACCAGAGCUUUUUCUGCACUCACCUCUUCCAUACUUUGGUUUCAUAAUCAGUUUUAAGUCUUCUGCAGUGGUUCUCAAACUUUUGUUUUCAGUAUCUUUAUCCUAUUAAACAUUAUUGAGGAU